rnacentral:pre_miRNA from 1 species
CUGUUGCGGGUCUUGAGAAGCAGAGCACUGGGGCGUCUACACCAUGGCCUGGGCUCCUCUCCUGCUCGCACUUCUGGCUCACUGCACAGGUCG